AGGAACAUGAAUAGGUGCAUCACCGGUCACUGAGCUAGCAAGCUAAAGUUAGCUAGUUAGUCACAUAAAUGUAUUUUCAUAGCUAUCAUGCUGUCGCUGUUAGCUAGCUAAUGCUAGCAGCGCUAGCUAACCUCAUAUCUGGAUGCCUCACUCUAGUUCCCGAAAGAGAGCAGCAUACUGGCUGCCCAUUCCCAAACCUGAAGCCAACUGUCCCCAGCAGGAAAGACCAGGAAAAGGUGUUGGCUUAAGGUACAACUUCCUAUUGAAGAAAUAUCUGCCAACCUGCUCGGUGGGUGACAGGUAACCGUCUUUCCACCAAGCUGUUCCAGGCCUGGAGUGCCACGCUGGAACUUCCAGAGGCUUGUAGACCUGAAGCAGUGUGAUGUGGUCCUGAUCUGCCACGCCCAGUAGUUCAGCUGCAGUCACAGCAGUCUUCUGCUGUGGUAGUUAAUUUACCGGCUGCACCAAUGCCUACUACACUGGCCGUGAAAGGAGAAACCUUUUGGUAUUCCUUGAUGGAUACAGAUCUUCCAUGCACUCCACCACUGCCUGACAGCCUCACCCAGAAGUGCAUACACGGGGCCUAUCAGAGAUGGGUGGCUGUUAAGGAAAAAUAAAACAUGCACACACACACACAUUAUCCACAAUGUAAAUAAGUUGUAAUUACUUAAUAUUUGCUCCAUUUUAUUUUAGGAUUAUAGAUAUCUACUCCUUUAUAGCCAUUCUCAAUAUCUACAUAAUUACUCAAACUAUCUAUCAAAUCAAAGUGUGAUUGAUAAUAUUGUAAAAGACUAUGGCUUAAUGUGUACAGUUUGAGGAAAUUAUGAGUGCUUUUUUUCUGAGUUGAAAAACAUGCCUCGCUCACACACAUUGGACCCAAUGUAAAUCAGUUGUAAUAACUUGUUUAUUUUAUGUAUGGUUAAUUUUAUUUGAGGAAAAUAUCUGCAAUAAAGUACAUUCACAGUUAAA
rnacentral:lncRNA from 1 species